rnacentral:rRNA from 1 species
CAGCGCGCGGGAAUACGUAGGGUGCAAGCGUUAAUCGGAAUUACUGGGCGUAAAGCGUGCGCAGGCGGUUCGCUAAGACAGAUGUGAGAUCCCCGGGCUUAACCUGGGAACUGCAUUUGUGACUGGCGGGCUAGAGUAUGGCAGAGGGGGGUAGAAUUCCACGUGUAGCAGUGAAAUGCGUAGAGAUGUGGAGGAAUACCGAUGGCGAAGGCAGCCCCCUGGGCCAAUACUGACGCUCAUGCACGAAAGCGUGGGGAGCAAACAGGAUUAGAUACCCGCGUAGUCCCUGUCUCUUAUACAC